UCUUUCCUGACUAUCACUUCCAUCUUUUUCAGGAUAUUGCUGUAUGACUAUUAAUAACAAGCAGUGAACGCUCCACAUCUCUGUAAUAUCCCAGAUCUGACAGAAAUAUUGCCCUUUUCCUGUAUGACACACUCUCCAAGUCAGACACUGUUCUGACUGUACGUUCAGUCGCAGGUGGCGAUGCCAGUGGAGAGAAUGCGCAUGCGUCCAUGGCUAGAAGAACAAAUAAAUUCAAAUAAAAUACCUGGUUUGAAAUGGCUGAACAAGGUAAGGACUCCAGUAUAUUCAGAAAGCCAGUGAAGGUUUAAUGCCAUGGAAAAACCUCUUUGUUUUAUCCAAACAAUAUUUUGUGUUUGAAGCUGCAGUAGGAGCCCACUAUUUUGUUGUGGAGG